GCCAGCAGGCAUAUCACCCUGCAGCCCAAGACUGGUUGCCCACUGAAGCCAAGCAGGGUUGAGCCUGGUCAGUACCUGGAAAACUCCUGGGAAAACUAGGUUGCUGCUGGAA
rnacentral:rRNA from 1 species